CGUCGGCGACCGGCGCACGGGUGGAGUAACACGUAUGCAACCUGCCCUCCUUCAGGGGGACAACCUUCCGAAAGGGAGGCUAAUCCCGCGUAUAUCGGUUUCGGGCAUCCGAGAUCGAGGAAAGAUUCAUCGGAAGAGGAUGGGCAUGCGGCGCAUUAGCUAGACGGCGGGGUAACGGCCCACCGUGGCGACGAUGCGUAGGGGUUCUGAGAGGAAGGUCCCCCACACUGGUACUGAGACACGGACCAGACUCCUACGGGAGGCAGCAG
rnacentral:rRNA from 1 species